AGUGAACGCUGGCGGCAGGCCUAACACAUGCAAGUCGAACGGAAGCACAGUAAGCGUUUGCUCUUACCGGUGGCGGGUGGCGGGCGGGUGACGCGUACAUCGGCAUCUACUUUUUCGUGGAGGAUAACGUAGGGCAGGUUACGAUACUACAGCAUAUGUCGUACCGGUGAAAGCAGGGGAUAUUCGCGCCUUGCGCGUUUGAAUGAGCCGAUGUCGGACUAGCUAGUUGGCUGGGUAAAGGCCCACCAAGGCGACGAUCCGUAGCUGGUCUGAGAGGAUGAUCAGCCACACUGGAACUGAGACACGGUCCAGACUCCUACGGGAGGCAGCAGUGGGGAAUAUUGGGCAAUGGGCGCAAGCCUGAUCCAGCCAUACCGCGUGAGUGAAGAAGGCCUUCGGGUCGUAAAGCCCUGUUGUUGGGAAAGAAAAGCUGUAGAUUAAUACCCCGCUGUUCUGACGGUACCCAAUGAAUAAGCACCGGCUAACUACGUG
rnacentral:rRNA from 1 species